rfam:Ricinus communis cultivar Hale ctg_1100012353763, whole genome shotgun sequence.
AGUCCGUGGUGCGGGCAACACCGGAGCAAAUCUUUGUACCUCUCCCAAGAAUCAUACAUGCUCUCGUCAUCGAACUGCACAAAAGAAGAUAUAUCAUUUCUCAAUUU